rnacentral:rRNA from 1 species
CCCUUAGAUGUCCGGGGCCACACGCGCGCUACACUGAAGGAAUCAGCGUGGCUUUCUCCCUGACCCGAAAGGGUUGGGAAACCCGUUGAAUCUCCUUCGUGAUAGGGAUUGGGGCUCGAAAUUGUUCCCCAUGAACGAGGAAUUCCCAGUAAGCGCGAGUCAUAAGCUCGCGUUGAUUACGUCCCUGCCCUUUGUACACACCGCCCGUCGCACCUACCGAUUGAAUGGUCCGGUGAAAUCUUCGGAUUGAGACUUUGAUUUCUUCACGGAAAACGCUGUUUUAAGAAGUUGAUUAAACCUUACCAUUUAGAGGAAGGUGAAGUCGUAACA